rnacentral:rRNA from 1 species
GAUGAACGCUGGCGGCGUGCCUAAUACAUGCAAGUCGAGCGAACGGACGAGAAGCUUGCUUCUCUGAUGUUAGCGGCGGACGGGUGAGUAACACGUGGAUAACCUACCUAUAAGACUGGGAUAACUUCGGGAAACCGUAGCUAAUACCGGAUAAUAUUUUGAACCGCAUGGUUCAAAAGUGAAAGACGGUCUUGCUGUCACUUAUAGAUGGAUCCGCGCUGCAUUAGCUAGUUGGUAAGGUAACGGCUUACCAAGGCAACGAUGCAUAGCCGACCUGAGAGGGUGAUCGGCCACACUGGAACUGAGACACGGUCCAGACUCCUACGGGAGGCAGCAGUAGGGAAUCUUCCGCAAUGGGCGAAAGCCUGACGGAGCAACGCCGCGUGAGUGAUGAAGGUCUUCGGAUCGUAAGACUCUGUUAUUAGGGAAGAACAUAUGUGUAAGUAACUGUGCACAUCUUGACGGUACCUAAUCAGAAAGCCACGGCUAACUACGU